UACGAAGGGGACUAGCGUUGUUCGGAAUCACUGGGCGUAAAGCGCACGUAGGUGGAUUUGUAAGUCAGGGGUGAAAUCCCGGGGCUCAACCUCGGAACUGCCUUUGAUACUGCGAAUCUUGAGUCCGAUAGAGGUGGGUGGAAUUCCUAGUGUAGAGGUGAAAUUCGUAGAUAUUAGGAAGAACACCAGUGGCGAAGGCGGCCCACUGGAUCGGUACUGACACUGAGGUGCGAAGGACGUGGGGAGCAAACG
rnacentral:rRNA from 1 species